CCUACGGGAGGCAGCAGUGGGGAAUAUUGGGCAAUGGGCGCAAGCCUGACCCAGCAACGCCGCGUGAAGGAAGAAGGCUUUCGGGUUGUAAACUUCUUUUAAGAGGGAAGAGGAGAAGACGGUAACUUAGGAAUAAGCCUCGGCUAACUACGUGCCAGCAGCCGCGGUAAUACGUAGGAGGCAAGCGUUAUCCGGAAUGACUGGGUGUAAAGGGUGCGUAGGUGGUUUGACAAGUUAGUAGCGCAACUCCAGAGCUCAACUUCGGAACUGCUACUAAAACUGUUGGACUUGAGUGCAGGAGGGGCAAGCGGAAUUCCUAGUGUAGCGGUGGAAUGCGUAGAUAUUAGGAGGAACACCAGUGGCGAAGGCGGAUUGCUAGACUGUAACUGACACUGAGGCACGAAAGCGUGGGGAGCAAACAGGAUUAGAUACCCUUGUAGUC
rnacentral:rRNA from 1 species